CUAGUGGCCGCAGCUGCUCACGGACGCUCUGCGGUGCCGGUGCAAAAGAAUUGCUGCUCUACGGGACGCAGGCCGCUAGGAUAGAAAGACCCCGAGGGAUAGGGAUAAUAUGGAGGCACAUCUCCAGGUGCUGGGGACAACAGGAAGUGCCUGUCGAUGACUUGGAAAGUCAGAGAGCGACAGUCCCAAUACACCGCACUGAGUGAAGUCAUGAAAGGUAUUUCUUCACCGUCACGAGCACGAAUUUCUCGAUGGCCCACUAUGCAAUAAAGAGCUUUGCCGGUCCCUCAGCGGAGGAGACUAAAGAGUUAAGACCUGUUCCUAACCUCAAGAGCGGCUAGGUGGUGUGGCAGCAAAUAGCAGAGACCCAAGACCGCUUCAUUAACAGAAACAUCUCAUCAAAAAUAAGCAGUCCCGGUGCCUAAAGACCAGAAAAGAACGUCAAUGUUCUCAUUUACGGAACCUGUUAAAAUACAGAGUCUCAAAUGGGUUCUUUUUCGAGACCCAGACUCUAAGGUAUACACCAGCAAUGAGCUGCCCUGGUUUCCCAACUCUCAUAUUUUAGCACAAAGAUGAAAGAAAACUGCGUGGUAUUGAAACCUUUGAAAUACAUAUGAAUUGUACUAUGCUGAUCCUGAA